GCCUGAGUGGUGAAAUAGGUAGACACAGCGGACUUAAAAUCCGCCGCUUCGUGAAAACGGGCGUACCGGUUCGAUUCCGGUCUCAGGCACCA
rnacentral:tRNA from 7 species